rnacentral:tRNA from 1 species
AAGACACUAGUAAAACUUAGCAUUACAUUACCUUGUCAAGGUAAAAUUGUGGGUGGGAGCCCCGCGUGUCUUG